CCCGGAAGUUGUCCCGCGGAACUCCUGUUUGCUGGUGUUCCCGGGUCUCUGGGGUUCUACUCCGUGUUCGUAGAGGUUGGUGCGGGAGUGGAAGAGGGGCCCGGCGGACGUCGGAGGACUGGGAGCCGGCGGGAGCCCCACGUGGUGGGAGCAGAGACGUCCUGGGGUCUUGGCGGCGGAUGCUGACGUGCAGGUAUAAUUAUGGAGUCCUCUGUGUUUCCAAGAGCAAAGAAAAUGAAUACAUUUCCUGUGUUGAUGUCAUUUGAGGAUGUGACUGUGGACUUCACCUGGGAGGAGUGGCAAGUCCUGGAUGAUGCCCACAGGAACCUGUACAGGGAAGUGAUGCGGGACACCUACAGAAGCCUGCUGUCCCUAGCUCCUGAAGCCAAGCUGUUGUCAUUCUUCAGAGGACCUGGCUGAGCAGCUUUGCAAAGUCCUACAAUAUUUCCCAUUAACAGGGUUCUGCAUCACCAAACCUGAGGUGAUCUGCAGAUUGGAGCAAGGAGCAGAGCCAUGGACAGAUGAAUCCCCAACACAGAGCUUCCCAGGCAGAGCAACAGAGAGAGAGAAAGCACGAUCUGCCAUCUGCUCUUUCACUGCCUAAAUGCCUGCAGCAGCCAAGGCUGGGCCAUGGUGAAGCCAGGAGCCAGGAAUUCCAUGUGGAUCUCCUAUGUAGGUGGCAGGGGCCUAGACACUGGCCAUGUCAUCAACUGCAUAAGAGAAUAUACACACAGGAAAAGAAGCAUGAAUGUAUUGAAUGUGGGAAAGCUUAUCACCACAGAUCAGCCUUCAUCAUACAUUGGAGAUCUCACACAGGGGAAAAAUGUCAUGAGUGUGCCAAGAGUUUGCAUGGAAGGAGACCUCACUUUCCAUCAGAGAACUCAUACAGAGGAACAACCUUAUAAAUGUGAUGAAUGUGGAAAAACCUUCUCCAAGAAGGGAGGCCUCACAUUCCAUCAGAGAACACAGCCAGGGGAACAGCCUUACAAAUGUGAUGAAUGUGGAAGAACCUUCACCAGGAAGGGAGACCUCAGUUUCCAUCAGCGAACUCACAUAGGGGAAAAAGCUUACGUGUGUAGUUGCUGUCAAAAGCCCUUUUACUGGAAGUCACAUCUCAUUGCACAUCAGAGAACUCACACAGGGGAGAAGCCUUAUGAGUGUAAUAUUUGUGGACAGGCCUUUACUGAAAGACAGACGUCAUCAAGCAUCAAAACACAAAAGGGGGGGAAGGCAUUAUGAAUGUAAUGAAUGUGGAAAAGUCUUUUGCAUGCAGAUACACUUCAGGACACAUCAGAGGACUCACACAGGUGAGUCCAUAGUAUGGAGAAUUGCUGCAAGUUCACCUCAAUGGGCAUCAGUCCUCACAGAGGAAAAACCUUAUGGACAUAAUGACUGUGGAAGAUCUUUUGCCAGGACCCACAUUUCAUCAAGUGUAGAGGAACUCACACAGGGGAAUUAGCCCUGGAUGGCCGAGACAGGCUAUGUGUUCUGGAAAUUCUACCUCUUGACAUGCAGCCUAUGUUUUCAGCCUCCCUGUUCUGUGGGUAGGAUCAUGUCACUGAGCUCUGCUUUCACUUUUUUUAUUUGUGGAAAUAAACAUUCAGUCUGUAACACCUGCCUGUUUGAAAUAACAUCUUAAUCAUCAAUCAGAUUAUUUGGAACAGAUUUUUUUGUGUGUCCUUUUCCUUCCUUGUCACAUUCUGGUACAGGCCACCUAUGUGACCACCUGAAUACCACAUGACUCUCAUGGGCCUGUCGUGUCCUGCACAUGCAGUGCUGUGUGAUGAGUGUUUCUUCCAGGAUGGGGAUACAGUGACCUCAGAGAUUGUGAUCAUCAUAGUCCUGUUUUCAUAUGGGCCUGGAGCUGCCCACACUACUAUAAGUCUGUUCUUAGGGUGAAGAGGGGUUAUGAGAAAUGUCCUGGGGUUUAAAGUCCGGGUAGUCUCCCCAUGGCUGAUACUGUGCCAGUGUUUUAUUUUGCUUACACUCUGUUGAGGUGGGUUACUCUUGUUUAUAACUUGAGUCCCAACUUGUGACUCCCUUUUUUAUUUCACUAAGCCUUUUGCAGACAAAAUAUAAUCUUGAAUAUUAUGGUAGCUUUAGAUUCCCUUUGAUAUCUUUUUUGUUAGGCCACCUCAUU